rnacentral:ncRNA from 1 species
GAUGCUCAGCAGAAGUAAGGGAGGUAGAAGGGAUAGUAGGUAGGGAAUGAAAGGGAUCUGGGUAAUCGUGCUGCAUAAUCUUAUCCGCCAACAGAAUCAGCCAGCUUUACCUGGGUGGAGAGGCCACCUUAGCCUGGGAGAGAAAAAUUUAUGUGUGAACAAUAAAUAGCCAAAUGGCUCAUCAUCCAAUUAGUGAUGCGGAGGAGUGGAUGAAUGAGGGUCCCAUUCUUGCUAUGCAGUGAAACCACCGCCGGGAGAACGGGCUUGAAGGAAUCAGCAGGGAAAGGCGACGCUGUGAAGCGAGACUCUAGUCUGGCGCUGCAAAGAGGCAUCAGAGGUGUAGAAUAACUGGGGGGGGGCCCGUGGUUAUGCCACUCAAGACCACGGUCUGGUUGCCCGUGAAAUACGACUGAGUGUUUUUUUCCACUUACCCGGCGAGGUGUGUGUGGGGGUGAGGCCCAAAGGGGGGGGGGGCCCGUGGUUAUGCCACUCAAGACCACGGUCUGGUUGCCCGUGAAAUACGACUGAGUGUUUUUUUCCACUUACCCGGCGAGGUGUGUGUGGGGGUGAGGCCCAAAGGGCUCUCGCUUCUGAUGCCAAGUGCCUGGCCCUGCCCUGCCCCAGGCGUUGGGUGGGGAGUUCGAUUUGGGGAGUAGACCUGUGACACGGGUGUCCUAAGGCAAGCUGGGGGAGGACAGAAACCUCCCGCGGAGAGGAAGAUCAAGGCUUGAUCUUGAUUUUCAGUACAAGUAUCAGCCACGAAAGCAGGGCCUCACGAUCCUUCUGCCUUUCUGGGUUUUAAGCAAGCAUCCAGGAGACAGGGGGAUGAGGAAUUCCGGGGAUGAAUCGGCACAUGAGGAACUCAGGCGUUUAGGAUGUUCUGCUCCGGUCACCCCAACGACCUGGGGAAUUCAGGCAGUUCCUGCAGGGACUGCU